GUAGUCCACGCCGUAAACGUUGGGCGCUAGGUGUGGGGAACCUUCCACGUUCUCCGUGCCGCAGCUAACGCAUUAAGCGCCCCGCCUGGGGAGUACGGCCGCAAGGCUAAAACUCAAAGGAAUUGACGGGGGCCCGCACAAGCGGCGGAGCAUGUGGCUUAAUUCGACGCAACGCGAAGAACCUUACCAAGGCUUGACAUAUACCGAAAACUCGUAGAGAUACGGGGUCCGCAAGGGCGGUAUACAGGUGGUGCAUGGUUGUCGUCAGCUCGUGUCGUGAGAUGUUGGGUUAAGUCCCGCAACGAGCGCAACCCUCGUUCUAUGUUGCCAGCGCGUUAUGGCGGGGACUC
rnacentral:rRNA from 1 species